AGAGUUUGAUCAUGGCUCAGAACGAACGCUGGCGGCGUGCCUAACACAUGCAAGUCGCGCGAGAAAGUGGGGGCAACUCUGCGAGUACAGCGGCGCACGGGUGAGUAACACGUAGGCAACCUACCUCCGAGACUGGGAUAACCUGUCGAAAGACGGGCUAAUACCAGAUAAGACCACCGAGGUUGCGGCUUCGGCGGUAAAAGAUGGCCUCUGCUUGCAGGCUAUCACUGGGAGAUGGGCCUGCGCGCCAUUAGCUAGUUGGCGGGGUAAUGGCCCACCAAGGCAAAGAUGGCUAGCUGGUCUGAGAGGAUGGCCAGCCACACUGGGACUGAGACACGGCCCAGACUCCUACGGGAGGCAGCAGUGGGGAAUAUUGCGCAAUGGGCGAAAGCCUGACGCAGCGACGCCGCGUGGGUGAUGAAGGCCUUCGGGUCGUAAAGCCCUGUCGGGGGGGACGAAACUUCUCGGUGCUAAUAUCGCCGAGACCUGACGGUACCCCCUAAGAG
rnacentral:rRNA from 1 species